rnacentral:rRNA from 1 species
UACGUAGGGCGCAAGCGUUGUCCGGAAUUAUUGGGCGUAAAGAGCUCGUAGGUGGUUUGUUACGUCUGCUGUGAAAACCUAGGGCUUAACCCUGGGCCUGCAGUGGAUACGGGCAGACUAGAGGUAGGUAGGGGAGAAUGGAAUUCCCGGUGUAGCGGUGAAAUGCGCAGAUAUCAGGAGGAACACCGGUGGCGAAGGCGGGUCUCUGGGCCGAUAUUGACGCUGAGGAGCGAAAGCGUGGGGAGCAAACAGG